UUGCCUUUGCUCUAGUAGCUUGAUGGUCUGCGAAGGCACUGUGAAGUGUAACGCGUGACGUGUUCGAUGCUUCGGGCAAAGGCACUGAGAGAGAGACAGAGAAGAGAACAAAGCAGUGCUACCUCUUAAUUGAGUAUUAAUUUAUAGAGGUUUUACUGUGUAUAAAAAUCAUAUGAGGUAUUCUAAAAUACCUCUCUUUUUUUCUUCAU
rnacentral:sRNA from 1 species